CUUCUUGGCUCCGGGCAGGGUGCGCCGAUGGGAAACCCCCAAUCGGCUGGGUGAUUUUUUUUUUUUGGAGGGGGGAGCUGUCCCCCGCAGCACCUGCCUCUCGAGUCUUCCUCUCCCGCUGCUGGACUGACGGGUGGGGCGAGGAAGGAGGGUGGAUGAGGCUUGAGCAAGCGUUGGUCGCCCGGCCUCAGAGGAAGUUCUCCCGGCUCGCCGAGGAGCCGCGUCCGGCCGUCCCCUGGGCCAUGCCGGCUCUGUUCGCUCCGAGCCCCUUCAGGCGCGCCUGCCGACUUAGGGCUCCCGGAGCUCGCCGGCCGCGGAGGGCAGCGCAGCCUCCACGCGGCGCCGCAGGCCUGGCACCGGCCGCGUCCCCGCCUCGCUCUUCUCGGCAGCCGCCUGGCACUUGCAACUAACUUCGCCCAAGUUUCCUGCGCCGCGGCGCCCCUCUCGGCGCGCUCCUGGGAGCGUGCGCCCGCGAGUCCGCCGCGCCCGGGGCCCCUCUGUCCUCGCUGCUGUGGCCAGAGCCGAGCCGGCGCAGGGGCGGAGGUGCUGCAGGAGAGUUAAGGAAAACGGGCCAUCACCUCAGUUCGCAGGUCCGCGCUGUGGCACCUCCCGCUCUCCCCACUCCCGCGGCGCAGGGGGCCCCUUCCCAGCCCAGGCCGCCCUCUGCACCGGCUCAGGUUUAGGCGAGUGGAGAGUCCGGAGCGCGCCGGGGAGUCUGCGCCCUGUUUGGCGUUGGCAAACCCUGGUGUCAUCCCGGCUACCCAGGCCGGCCUGGCGUGCAGCUGCCCUGGUUGUGGCCCUGGAAUCCUCGCCGGGAGGAAGAAGGCGGCGGGCACGAGUAGGAGAGCCUCUCCAGCUACGGAGGAAGAGGGUUAAACCUGGAGAAGGGGAGACUCACCCUUGAAAAUGUUUGAGACUGUUCCUAGCAAGAAAGUGCUCAUUUUCCUUGGAGGUCCAGGUGUUGCUUGCAACAGAAACAGAGGCUUCUCGCAUUUUCUUGCA
rnacentral:lncRNA from 10 species